GACGAACGCUGGCGGCGUGCCUAAUACAUACAAGUAGAACGCUGAAGAGAGGAGCUUGCUCUUCUUGGAUGAGUUGCGAACGGGUGAGUAACGCGUAGGUAACCUGCCUUGUAGCGGGGGAUAACUAUUGGAAACGAUAGCUAAUACCGCAUAACAAUGGAUGACACAUGUCAUUUAUUUGAAAGGGGCAAUUGCUCCACUACAAGAUGGACCUGCGUUGUAUUAGCUAGUAGGUGAGGUAACGGCUCACCUAGGCGACGAUACAUAGCCGACCUGAGAGGGUGAUCGGCCACACUGGGACUGAGACACGGCCCAGACUCCUACGGGAGGCAGCAGUAGGGAAUCUUCGGCAAUGGGGGCAACCCUGACCGAGCAACGCCGCGUGAGUGAAGAAGGUUUUCGGAUCGUAAAGCUCUGUUGUAAGUCAAGAACGAGUGUGAGAGUGGAAAGUUCACACUGUGACGGUAGCUUACCAGAAAGGGACGGCUAACUACGUGCCAGCAGCCGCCGUAAGAC
rnacentral:rRNA from 1 species